AUGUUAGUGUCACAAGCAGCACGUCAAUCUGCUUCUGCAUUUCCAGCGAAGGCGUGGACCUUGACUUGACGUUACUUCCAACAUAGUGACGGUGUGGUGCCAAAAAGUGAUCGUCUGACCAAAAGGGAUUUUAUUUGGAUCAAACUGUCAUAACGGGCACAUGACACAACUUUAAGUCUGUAGUAAUAUCAAAGAUAUGUCUUUAUGAAACUUGAACGUUUCUUGUAACCGAUAGUCAUCAGGAAAUAUGAUCCUAAUGUAUUUAAGGUUUGUAUGUCUACUAUUACAACACUGUAAUUGAUUGAAAUGUUUAUUUGGAAUAUGUAAAUAAUUAACAUUAUAUAUGACAAUGGGUAAUGAAUAAAAUAAAGACAUUAUAGCUUUUUUUAUCCUUAUGACUGCAUUAUUUCACCUGCUCUGUCACAACCCAUACAGUUUUUCACCUGUUGAAAUACCUUUCAAUGGGCCAUGACACAACCCAUAAAACACAGUGUAUCACCUGCACCACAACGGUGUGAUAGAUAAAACAAUAACACAGGAGCUUUGCCUCGUUGUUUCAGUUCACACGUCACAACGCUCACUGGCUUGUUAUUGAAUUUUAGCGCGAACCGCGUCAAUGGCCAUUCGCCCGCAGGGGGGAAGUAAACCAACACCGAGCUAGCUCUCUCAUUAGCUCCACCGCCACAGACACACAGCAGUUCACAGUCGGUUGUUAUAGUUUGCCGAAGGUACGUAGAAGCUGCCCGGACUCGGGGUCCGACAGAGUUGGUAAAUAAUAAAGAAGGAGCAGCCGCAGCAAGGCUAACGGUUUGUUAGCUAGGCUAGCGUUUAGCAUGCUAACGUUAGCCGACUGACUGCAAAAAAACACGGUACCGACCUUUGCGGGGAACGGACGCCGGAGCCGAAUGCGUCGGCGUGACUCUACAUCGCUUCCCCCCGCGAGAGAAGUUGUGUCACGCACGACUGUUCCCCCCGUGAAUUAACUGAGAAAAGUGUCGCUGCGGUGUUUUAUUCUCCUGUGUUCAUUUCGCUGGGGCAACUUUUUUUUUUCUCCCCCUCCAGGAUCAUGUUCCCUUGGUAACCACAUAGUGAACUAUCGCGAGAUCUCGCGCGCAGGGGUGAGAGUUCAUCCAACCUCCAGUUUUCCCUUCAAGAGAGAUAAAGAUCCUAGUCUAGUCCAGAUCCAGUCGCCAGAAGUCCAGAACCCUCCGUGUGUCACAUUCACACUCAGUCCAACAUCAUCAGAGCCACUGGGACGCUGGUCGACCAAACCCAUCAAGCUCAGCGAUCAUUUCUACAUCCCCACUUUCUUAGAGUGUAUGGCCAACGUUCCCACUUCUCACGGUGAGAGAACAUUAUCACCGUAACUACUUCACACCAUCUGCGUGUUAUAAACACACAGAAAAAGAAACCACAUGGCGAACCUCAACAAGUAACAGGGGUUUAGUGAUGGGAUGUUCACACGGCGAGCGAAAAAACGCUCCCGUCCUUGCCCCGCGAUUUGUUUUAGUUCCAACACUGGGCCCAGUUCAGUGGUUUCUGGGCAGAGGAAAGCUGGCACUGUGGGGGACAUCUGGUCGCAAGAGGGGCGCGUCCGCACCAGGCCAACUGCCGUGCCAGAGGAAGCAGGCCCCCAGA
ensembl:lncRNA